AGAGAGAAUAUAGUGAUGAUAAUAUAUUUGGUUCUUGGCGUGAGUGGACAACACCUGGAAUGAAAAGUCGAGAUGACUCCUUAAAGAAGUUAGCAGCAAGGGGUAACUUGUGGCAGAGGUACGAAUCUGGAUGGGGACAGAGAGGCAUAAAGAGGAGCAGUGAAGUGUGUUUGAAUUGUUACUUAAUAAAGAAGGAUAAAGGUAGAGUCAAUCAAUCGAUCUCACUGUUCAUUUCAUGUCAUAGUGGACCAUGUGAAAUUUUUCAGUGGGUUUUUCAUUUUCGGCUCUUUUCUCUCUUAUUGAAAAUUUAAGCCUAUACGAACAAAGCUAUUGUCAGUGGAAAAGAAAGGUGAAAUAAGAAGUUAUAAACAACAAAAAAUGAUGGUUACCUACAUAUAAACCAUUUUUUU
rnacentral:lncRNA from 1 species